CGCUCAGUGGCCGAAUAGGUGUAAGUCUUUUAAACUUAUAAUAGUCUCUCUCUGGGCGA
rnacentral:tRNA from 1 species